GACGAACGCUGGCGGCGUGCUUAACACAUGCAAGUCGAACGGAAAGGCCCUGCUUUUGUGGGGUGCUCGAGUGGCGAACGGGUGAGUAACACGUGAGUAACCUGCCCUUGACUUUGGGAUAACUUCAGGAAACUGGGGCUAAUACCGGAUAGGAGCUCCUGCUGCAUGGUGGGGGUUGGAAAGUUUCGGCGGUUGGGGCUGGACUCGCGGCUUAUCAGCUUGUUGGUGGGGUAGUGGCUUACCAAGGCUUUGACGGGUAGCCGGCCUGAGAGGGUGACCGGCGACAAUGGGACUGAGAUACGGCCCAGACUCCUACGGGAGGCAGCAGUGGGGAGUAUUGCACAAUGGGCGGAAGCCUGAUGCAGCAACGCCGCGUGCGGGAUGACGGCCUUCGGGUUGUAAACCGCUUUCGCCUGUGACGAAGCGUGAGUGACGGUAAUGGGUAAAGAAGCACCGGCUAACUACGUG
rnacentral:rRNA from 1 species